UGGGGAAUAUUGCACAAUGGGCGCAAGCCUGAUGCAGCCAUGCCGCGUGUAUGAAGAAGGCCUUCGGGUUGUAAAGUACUUUCAGCGGGGAGGAAGGUGUUGUGGUUAAUAACCACAGCAAUUGACGUUACCCGCAGAAGAAGCACCGGCUAACUCCGUGCCAGCAGCCGCGGUAAUACGGAGGGUGCAAGCGUUAAUCGGAAUUACUGGGCGUAAAGCGCACGCAGGCGGUCUCUCAAGUCGGAUGUGAAAUCCCCGGGCUCAACCUGGGAACUGCAUCCGAAACUGGCAGGCUUGAGUCUUGUAGAGGGGGGUAGAAUUCCAGGUGUAGCGGUGAAAUGCGUAGAGAUCUGGAGGAAUACCGGUGGCGAAGGCGGCCCCCUGGACAAAGACUGACGCUCAGGUGCGAAAGCGUGGGGAGCAAACA
rnacentral:rRNA from 1 species